UACGAAGGGGGCUAGCGUUGCUCGGAAUCACUGGGCGUAAAGCGCACGUAGACGGCGCAGCAAGUCAGGGGUGAAAUCCCGGGGCUCAACCCCGGAACUGCCCUUGAAACUGCAGUGCUAGAAUCUUGGAGAGGCGAGUGGAAUUCCGAGUGUAGAGGUGAAAUUCGUAGAUAUUCGGAAGAACACCAGUGGCGAAGGCGACUCGCUGGACAAGUAUUGACGCUGAGGUGCGAAAGCGUGGGGAGCAAACAGG
rnacentral:rRNA from 1 species